AUUGAACGCUGGCGGCAUGCCUUACACAUGCAAGCCGAACGGUAACAGGUUAAGCUGACGAGUGGCGAACGGGUGAGUAAUGUAUCGGAACGUGCCCAGUCGUGGGGGAUAACUGCUCGAAAGAGCAGCUAAUACCGCAUACGACCUGAGGGUGAAAGCGGGGGAUCGCAAGACCUCGCGCGAUUGGAGCGGCCGAUAUCAGAUUAGGUAGUUGGUGAGGUAAAGGCUCACCAAGCCGACGAUCUGUAGCUGGUCUGAGAGGACGACCAGCCACACUGGGACUGAGACACGGCCCAGACUCCUACGGGAGGCAGCAGUGGGGAAUUUUGGACAAUGGGCGCAAGCCUGAUCCAGCCAUGCCGCGUGCGGGAAGAAGGCCUUCGGGUUGUAAACCGCUUUUGUCAGGGAAGAAAAGGUUCUGGCUAAUACCUGGGACUCAUGACGGUACCUGAAGAAUAAGCACCGGCUAACUACGU
rnacentral:rRNA from 1 species